UCGAGAAUCUUCGGCAAUGGGCGCAAGCCUGACCGAGCGACGCCGCGUGGAGGAUGAAGGCCUUCGGGUUGUAAACUCCUGUCGAGGGGGAAGAAGGCCCCGCAAGGGGCUUGACUGAUCCCUGGAGGAAGCACGGGCUAAGUUCGUGCCAGCAGCCGCGGUAAGACGAACCGUGCGAACGUUAUUCGGAAUCACUGGGCUUAAAGCGCGUGUAGGCGGGCCGGCACGUCCGUCGCUGAAAUCCCCCGGCUCAACCGGGGAACGGGCGCGGAUACGACCGGCCUGGAGGGACGUAGGGGGACCUGGAACUUCCGGUGGAGCGGUGAAAUGCGUUGAGAUCGGAAGGAACGCCCGUGGCGAAAGCGAGGUCCUGGACGUUUUCUGACGCUGAGACGCGAAAGCCAGGGGAGCGAACGGGAUUAGAUACCCCUGUAGUCC
rnacentral:rRNA from 1 species